rnacentral:rRNA from 1 species
UACGUAGGGUGCGAGCGUUGUCCGGAAUUAUUGGGCGUAAAGGGUGCGUAGGCGGCGCCGUAAGUCGGGUGUGAAAUUUCGGAGCUUAACUCCGAAACUGCAUUCGAUACUGCGGUGCUUGAGGACUGGAGAGGAGACUGGAAUUCAUGGUGUAGCAGUGAAAUGCGUAGAGAUCAUGAGGAAGACCAGUGGCGAAGGCGGGUCUCUGGACAGUUCCUGACACUGAGGCACGAAGGCCAGGGGAGCAAACGGG